UACGGGGGGGAGCAAGCGUUGUUCGGAUUUACUGGGCGUAAAGGGCGCGUAGGCGGUCGUGACAAGUCACUUGUGAAAUCUCCGGGCUUAACUCGGAACGGUCAAGUGAUACUGUCGGACUAGAGUACAGAAGGGGCAACUGGAAUUCUCGGUGUAGCGGUGAAAUGCGUAGAUAUCGAGAGGAACACCUGCGGCGAAGGCGGGUUGCUGGGCUGAUACUGACGCUGAGAAGCGAAAGCGUGGGGAGCGAACAGG
rnacentral:rRNA from 1 species